UACGUAGGGUGCAAGCGUUGUCCGGAAUUAUUGGGCGUAAAGAGCUCGUAGGUGGUCUGUCGCGUCGGCUGUGAAAACUCGGGGCUCAACCCCGAGCCUGCAGUCGAUACGGGCAGACUAGAGUGCUGUAGGGGAGACUGGAAUUCCUGGUGUAGCGGUGAAAUGCGCAGAUAUCAGGAGGAACACCGGUGGCGAAGGCGGGUCUCUGGGCAGUAACUGACGCUGAGGAGCGAAAGCGUGGGGAGCAAACAGG
rnacentral:rRNA from 1 species